GACGAACGCUGGCGGCGUGCCUAAUACAUGCAAGUCGAACGGGGUUGCACGGCGNAAGCCUUCGGGUGGAAGCUGUGCAGCCUAGUGGCGGACGGGUGAGUAACGCGUGGGCAACCUGCCCUCCAGCCCGGGAUAACUUGCGGAAACGGGAGCUAAUCCCGGAUGCGGAGCAAAGGACGCAUGUUUUUUGCUCGAAAGCUUCGGCGCUGGAGGAUGGGCCCGCGUCCCAUUAGCUAGUUGGUGAGGUAACGGCUCACCAAGGCGACGAUGGGUAGCCGGCCUGAGAGGGUGAUCGGCCACACUGGGACUGAGACACGGCCCAGACUCCUACGGGAGGCAGCAGUAGGGAAUCUUGCGCAAUGGGCGAAAGCCUGACGCAGCGACGCCGCGUGAGGGAAGAAGGCCUUCGGGUCGUAAACCUCUGUCCUUGGGGACGAUGAUGACGGUACCCAAGGAGGAAGCCCCGGCUAACUACGUGCCAGCAGCCGCGGUAAUACGUAGGGGGCGAGCGUUGUCCGGAAUCACUGGGCGUAAAGGGUGCGUAGGCGGCUUGGCAAGUCCUGUGUGAAAGGUCGCGGCUCAACCGCGGUGGGUCAUGGGAAACUGCCAAGCUCGAGUGCCGGAGAGGAUAGCGGAAUUCCCGGUGUAGCGGUGAAAUGCGUAGAGAUCGGGAGGAACACCAGUGGCGAAGGCGGCUAUCUGGAAGGUCACUGACGCUGAGGCACGACAGCUGGGGGAGCAAACAGGAUUAGAUACCCUGGUAGUCCCAGCCGUAAACGAUGAGUGCUAGGUGUUGCGGGUAUCGACCCCUGCAGUGCCGAAGUCAACACAAUAAGCACUCCGCCUGGGGAGUACGGCCGCAAGGCUGAAACUCAAAGGAAUUGACGGGGGCCCGCACAAGCGGUGGAGCAUGUGGUUUAAUUCGAUGCACGCGAAGANCUUACCAGGGCUUGACAUCCGCGANCCUGUGGAACNCGGGGUGCCCUUCGGGAACGCGAAACNGUGGUGCAUGGUUGUCNUCAC
rnacentral:rRNA from 1 species